rnacentral:rRNA from 1 species
UACGUAGGGGGCAAGCGUUGUCCGGAAUCAUUGGGCGUAAAGAGCGUGUAGGCGGCUUGGAAGGUCAGCUGUGAAAACUCGAGGCUCAACCUCGAGACGUCGGUUGAAACCACCUGGCUAGAGUCCGGAAGAGGAGAGUGGAAUUCCCGGUGUAGCGGUGAAAUGCGCAGAUAUCGGGAAGAACACCCGUGGCGAAGGCGGCUCUCUGGGACGGUACUGACGCUGAGACGCGAAAGCGUGGGGAGCGAACAGG